rnacentral:rRNA from 1 species
CAGUAGCCGCGGGAAAACGGAGGGAGCUAGCGUUGUUCGGAAUUACUGGGCGUAAAGCGCGCGUAGGCGGUUACUCAAGUCAGAGGUGAAAGCCCGGGGCUCAACCCCGGAACUGCCUUUGAAACUAGGUGACUAGAAUCUUGGAGAGGUCAGUGGAAUUCCGAGUGUAGAGGUGAAAUUCGUAGAUAUUCGGAAGAACACCAGUGGCGAAGGCGACUGACUGGACAAGUAUUGACGCUGAGGUGCGAAAGCGUGGGGAGCAAACAGGAUUAGAUACCCCAGUAGUCCCUGUCUCUUAUAC